rnacentral:tRNA from 1 species
GCAGGGGUCGCCCAGCUUGGUCAAAGGCGCUGGGAUGAGGUCCCAGUCCGUAAUGGUUCGCAGGUUCAAAUCCUGCCCUCUGCA